rnacentral:miRNA from 15 species
AGGCAAGAUGUUGGCAUAGCUG